UACGUAGGGGGCAAGCGUUAUCCGGAAUUACUGGGUGUAAAGGGAGAGUAGGCGGCAAGGUAAGCGAUAUGUGAAAGCCUUAAGCUUAACUUAAGGAUGGCAUAACGAACUAUCUAGCUAGAGUACAGGAGAGGAAAGCGGAAUUCCUAGUGUAGCGGUGAAAUGCGUAGAUAUUAGGAAGAACACCAGUGGCGAAGGCGGCUUUCUGGACUGAAACUGACGCUGAGGCUCGAAAGCGUGGGGAGCGAACAGG
rnacentral:rRNA from 1 species